rnacentral:tRNA from 1 species
GGAGGCGUGGCAGAGUGGUUUAAUGCACCGGUCUUUAAAACCGGCAGUCGCUCCGGCGACUGCCGGUUCAAAUCCUAUCGCCUCCG